GACGAACGCUGGCGGCGUGCUUAACACAUGCAAGUCGAACGGAAAGGCCCUGCUUUUGUGGGGUGCUCGAGUGGCGAACGGGUGAGUAACACGUGAGUAACCUGCCCUUGACUUUGGGAUAACUUCAGGAAACUGGGGCUAAUACCGGAUAGGAGCUCCUGCUGCAUGGUGGGGGUUGGAAAGUUUCGGCGGUUGGGGAUGGACUCGCGGCUUAUCAGCUUGUUGGUGGGGUAGUGGCUUACCAAGGCUUUGACGGGUAGCCGGCCUGAGAGGGUGACCGGCCACCAUGGGACUGCGGUACGGCCCAGACUCCUACGGGAGGCAGCAGUGGGGAAUAUUGCACAAUGGGCGGAAGCCUGAUGCAGCAACGCCGCGUGCGGGAUGACGGCCUUCGGGUUGUAAACCGCUUUCGCCUGUGACGAAGCGUGAGUGACGGUAAUGGGUAAAGAAGCACCGGCUAACUACGUG
rnacentral:rRNA from 1 species